rnacentral:lncRNA from 1 species
UUUCUAAUGUAUGUUCCAUGUAGCAAUUGUGACGCUCUUCCAACUCUAAAAAGUAAUAUCAAACUUGAAGGCUGCAUAUGAACCUCUGGCCAGGUAGUAUAUUGGGCAUCAUCUGAAUUAUUGUUGGAGAUUUAUGUGGAUCUCUAGAUAGGUGGUAAAUGUUGGUCAAGUCUUAUAUGUGGACCUCAAAGGUUAAUGCAGCAUCAUCUGGUUUAUUAAUGUGGUCUCGUCUUUAUUAGCAGUGUGGAUUUAUUUGGCCAUGCCGGUAAGAGUAAACAUUUAAAGAAAAAUAUGAAAUCAUGUGAAAGAUUAGAGUUUUGUGAAUUUCAAAAUGUGUUUUGCUCAUUUGCAGUAUCUCAUUUAUUAUUAGAUGUUGACUAAUGGUAUUUUUUAUAAAAUGUUAUCGAUAAACAUUUAUUUUGAACUUUCUAAUGGUAAUCUGAUUUGCAUGUUACAUUUAAAUUUCAUUUGCUUUCAACAAGAACUUNNNNNNNNNNNNNNNNNNNNUGUUAUCGAUAAACAUUUAUUUUGAACUUUCUAAUGGUAAUCUGAUUUGCAUGUUACAUUUUAAAUUUCAUUUGCUUUCAACAAGAACUUAAGUUCUUUUGACCAUGCUAGAAGUCUUAGAUUCCAUGUUACAUUUUAAAUUUCAUUUGCUUUAAACAAUAACUUAAGUUCUACAUUUAUCAUUUAUCAUAGAUUCCACGUUGGUCAAGUCUUAUAUGUGGACCUCGAAGGUUAAUGCAGCAUCAUCUGGUUUAUUAAUGUGGUCUCGUCUUUAUUAGCAGUGUGGAUUUAUUUGGCCAUGCUGGUAAGAGUAAACAUUUAAAGAAAAACAUGAAAUCAUGUGAAAGAUUAGAGUUUUCUGAAUUUCAAAAUGUGUUUUGCUCAUUUGCAGUAUCUCAUUUAUUAUUAGAUGUUGACUAAUGGUAUUUUUUAUAAAAUGUUAUCGAUAAACAUUUAUUUUGAACUUUCUAAUGGUAAUCUGAUUUGCAUGUUACAUUUUAAAUUUCAUUUGCUUUCAACAAGAACUUAAGUUCUUUUGACCAUGCUAGAAGUUUACGUGCUGAGAUUUGUCGCUCACUUCAUGUUAAUACAAUCCUUUCAAAGUGAAUGAUAAAGCAUAUACUGCCUUUUGAAAGAAAAAAGAUUCCAUGUUUUGAAAUAGCUUUCAGAUCUAGUGAUUGUUGAUGCAACAUCAGGACUAUG